AUUUGAUUCGUGUCCUGCACGUGCGGCUCGGUGACGGUGACUUGUCACUCGAUUGCAUUGGUCAUCAACCGUCUUUUUUACAUGACCACGGAAUCAAAAACAUCAACAACAGCAAAUGAGUGGCGUGUUACGAUCGAAAACACACGGUAACUAGGCUUGGAGGUAUGGAGAGCGAAAGAGAGGAGAAGAGCAAGGGAUUGGGAGUAGGAGAAGGGAGUCGUCAUGAGCAAGAGGGAGCAAGAGGGUUGCAGAGACAUUCGGCAAUGUUUUGCCUUGUCUCAGAAAAGAAGCAAAAAUAAAGAGAGUGAAGCACAGAGAGCAAGAACGUUUGGAGGAUGAAAGCAGUGUGUGUCAAUCUGUUAGUGACAUAGAGUAGAGCUAGUAAGCCAGCGGGAGAGACAGAAAGUUUGGAGGAUGAAAGCACAGGGAGAGUUUGUCAAUCUAGUGGUGGCAUAGAGAUGAGUCGCCUAAGAGAGGAGUAAAUAUGAAAGGUUAAGACCGAAUCAUGACAUUCAAGCAGAAUCCUGUUAGCACACAUGUAUACAGUGUAGGGUGGUCAAAAAAAUGUAUACUCAGAUACUAAUCGAUUCAAAUUAAAAAACAUGAUAUCGGAUUAGAUACU
ensembl:lncRNA